UAGGCAGUAAGUCAAUGGUAGAGCACCCGCUUCGUAUGCGGGAAGACCUGGGUUCGAUUCCCGGCAACUUAC
rnacentral:tRNA from 1 species